ACGGCGCACGGGUGCGUAACACGUGGGCAAUCUGCCCUUCGAUGGGGAAUAACUCCGGGAAACCGAAGCUAAUUCCGCAUAACAUUCCUUGGACCCCGGUUCGAGGAUUCAAAGCCGCAAGGCGUCGAAGGAGGAGCCCGCGCCCGAUUAGCUAGUUGGGGAGGUAACGGCUCACCAAGGCAAUGAUCGGUAGCUGGUCUGAGAGGAUGGCCAGCCACACUGGAACUGAGACACGGUCCAGACUCCUACGGGAGGCAGCAGUGGGGAAUCUUGCACAAUGGGCGAAAGCCUGAUGCAGCGACGCCGCGUGGGGGAUGAAGCAUUUCGGUGUGUAAACCCCUUUCGACCGGGAAGAAUGCCCGCAAGGGAGUGACGGUACCGGUAUAAGAAGCCCCGGCUAACUACGUGCCAGCAGCCGCGGUAAGACGUAGGGGGCCAGCGUUGUUCGGAAUUACUGGGUGUAAAGGGUUCGUAGGCGGUGUGGCAAGUCGGGAGUGAAAUCUAUGGGCUUAACCCAUAGGCUGCUUCCGA
rnacentral:rRNA from 1 species